UGAGGCUCGGAUAUAAAUGAGAAAUAUUUGAUCCAUACAGUCCCAGCGACAGCGGUUAUACUUUGGAAGAGUCGAGUAUUAUCCAUCCAUGUCAGGCGUUAAAAGCGUUCGUUC
rnacentral:sRNA from 1 species